rnacentral:misc_RNA from 1 species
GAUGAAGAACGCAGCGAAAUGCGAUAAGUAAUGUGAAUUGCAGAAUUCAGUGAAUCAUCGAAUCUUUGAACGCACAUUGCGCCCGCCAGUAUUCUGGCGGGCAUGCCUGUCCGAGCGUCAUUUCAACCAUCAAGCCCCCGGGCUUGUGUUGGGGACCUGCGGCUGCCCGCAGGCCCUGAAAACCAGUGGCGGGCUCGCUGUCACACCGAGCGUAGUAGCAAUCACCUCGCUCAGGGCGUGCUGCGGGUUCCGGCCGUUAAACAGCCUUACAAAACCCAAGGUUGACCUCGGAUCAGGUAGGAAGACCCGCUGAACUUAAGCAUAUCAUAAGCGGAGGA